rnacentral:lncRNA from 1 species
UAUCACCAGCACGAUAAGAAAGCCAUAAGUUAAGAUCCCUGGAAUACCCUCCAUUACGAAAGUAGGUAGUUUUACUACAUAAAACUAUAAGUUAAGAACCCUGGAAUAGUACCCUCCAGUACGAAAGUAGGUAGUUUUAAUACAUAAAACUAUAGAUUAAGAACCCUGGAAUACCCUCCAGUACGAAAGUAGGUAGUUUUAAUACAUAAAACUAUAGAUUAAGAACCCUGGAAUACCCUCCAGUACGAAAGUAGGUAGUCUUAUUACAUAAAUAAGACUAUAAAAGAAAGAAAGAAAUCCAUGAAUAUUGCUAAUUAGUUUAAUACGUAUUGUGAGUCGUAUAACCAUACUGAUUUAACUUGUGACCUCCUUGACGUUCUUCAGGCGUUGUUCGAUUCCAAAAUUUGUCACCCCAGGCGUGCCCGCCUAACUGUAGCUAGCAUUUUAGGUGUGGGAUUGCCAGUCCCGAAUAGAUCUAUCUACAAAUUUCACGUUUUCCCUCCAAGAGACCCUGGUUAUACUUCCAGAGAGGAUUUACUGGUACCCCGAAGGGUAAUAUGAAGACAGUCUCACAAGCUAGUAUUAACUGAUUCACAGGAUAAUAGACCAUUCUCGAGUUUCGAAAUCAUUUGGAACAAAGUAGAGUAUAAAUAAUCAAAUACGAGAUAAUUAUUUAACAAGAUACUCUAGAUUAAACAUGGAUAAACUAAAUCAGACAUAGUUUAUAUCAUUGACUUUGCAUGAAAUCUGAAUCUGUAAAACAAGUAAUAAAGAUCCCAAAUUAUUCCCAUAAUAAUUUGAAUGAUUUGAUAAGUUCCCACGCUGUUUUGAAAACUAUGUAAUUAUAUUAAGAAAACGUCCCUUAUGCUCCGCAUAUUACAAAAGGGAUAAAGUAUCUAAAGUUUGAUAGAAAUUCGUAUAAUUACAUCAGUUUUAAGUUUCGAAAACCUUUAUGAUUUUCUUGUAUUCGCCCCCCCCCCCCCUGAAAAUAUGAAA